rnacentral:misc_RNA from 1 species
GGUAACAUCAAAAAGAUUAAACGUUGUAUGAAAACCAGAAAGACUUACCUGGCAUUAUGUCCACCUUAACAGAUUUCAAUCUUCUCACAACUCGUUCUCCAUUACACGACUUGCAGAAGUUCGACACAAUUUUCCCACUUCCACCACACUGUGAACAUGUAGACUGCAUUCUAAAUGGGCCAGUUUGCAUGUAUGUCAUGCCUGAGCCCUUACAGCGUCUACACGUCUCAGGUCUGGUUCCAGGUGGAACACCACUUC